rnacentral:lncRNA from 1 species
GAAAAUUGACAAGCUUUGUUAAUGGGUUUGAAGUUUAUAAUUGAACCCCUGCCAAGAUCAGGAUACAAACCUAUUCAUGGAAAAAUUUCCAUUGGGUAUAUGGUUCUCUCUAACCCCUAAAAAGAAUUCAUCCAAUCUAAAAACCAAACCCAAAUUCAAUUCAAGGAUUUUGUUCUUUAUUUUGCAAUCGGGUCUUAAAAUUUUGGGUCUUUAUGUUAGUUUAAUUAUUUGAUGUCUCUGGAUCUGUGAAUUUUUUAUUAAUUGAAAUUUGAAAGAUGGGAUUAAGUAAGUAUAAGAGGUUAUGAAUCAGUUGAACUCCAAUCUGUUUAAACUGGAAGGAAACUCCUCAUUUUGUUUUGGAGAGAAGCAAUUCUUGACUUCUUCCUUGAAAGCUUCCUGAAGCUUGAGGAAAAGAAUAGUAGUUUUUCUCUAUCAUUGUAAUUUUUGCCAAAAUAUACAAGAGAAAAAAAAAAAAACAGAUACAAGAAGGAGCAGAGUUUGGGACAACAAGUGGUUGGUGAGCAUGGAAAAAAAAUCUGGUGUUAAGUAUGUAUAAUAGAAGUAUGUUCUCUACUUUAUCUAAUGGUCAAGAUUAGCUUUGCUAUGAUGGGAAACAACUCCCCUUUCCCAUACUAAAUGCCACCCAUACUAAGAUUGCCCCUCUCCUAUAUUAUUAUCGGAGGCUGAAACUUUUUUUUUUUAGGUAUUGUUUGUCAUAUUUUUCCCUCUAAUUUCUAUUUGUUACUAGCGAAAAGACGGACCACCGUCUUUCCGCUCUUUUUAUUGCGCUAACGUUUGAAAAUAAUGAACGGUGUUUUUUUUUUUUUUAUGAAAUUUUGAUUUUCA